rnacentral:rRNA from 1 species
UACAGAGGAUGCAAGCGUUAUCCGGAAUGAUUGGGCGUAAAGCGUCUGUAGGUGGCUUUUUAAGUCCGCCGUCAAAUCCCAGGGCUCAACUCUGGACAGGCGGUGGAAACUACCAAGCUGGAGUACGGUAGGGGCAGAGGGAAUUUCCGGUGGAGCGGUGAAAUGCGUAGAUAUCGUGAGGAACACCGGUGGCGAAGGCGGGUCUCUGGGCCGAUACUGACGCUGAGGAGCGAAAGCGUGGGGAGCAAACAGG